GAUGAACGCUGGCGGCGUGCCUAAUACAUGCAAGUCGAGCGAAUGGAUUAAGAGCUUGCUCUUAUGAAGUUAGCGGCGGACGGGUGAGUAACACGUGGGUAAUCUGCCCAUAAGACUGGGAUAACUCCGGGAAACCGGGGCUAAUACCGGAUAACAUUUUGAACCGCAUGGUUCGAAAUUGAAAGGCGGCUUCGGCUGUCACUUAUGGAUGGACCCGCGUCGCAUUAGCUAGUUGGUGAGGUAACGGCUCACCAAGGCAACGAUGCGUAGUCGACCUGAGAGGGUGAUCGGCCACACUGGGACUGAGACACGGCCCAGACUCCUACGGGAGGCAGCAGUAGGGAAUCUUCCGCAAUGGACGAAAGUCUGACGGAGCAACGCCGCGUGAGUGAUGAAGGCUUUCGGGUCGUAAAACUCUGUUGUUAGGGAAGAACAAGUGCUAGUUGAAUAAGCUGGCACCUUGACGGUACCUAACCAGAAAGCCACGGCUAACUACGUGCCAGCAGCCGCCGUAA
rnacentral:rRNA from 1 species